rfam:Daucus carota subsp. sativus cultivar DH1 chromosome 3, whole genome shotgun sequence.
UACUGGGAAGAAUGAUGAAACAAAUUAGAUGUCUGAAAAUCCAUGAGUUAAAAACUAUCGAGGCAUAUUUGAUAUUCUGACUUUCCCUGUU